GUGCCAGCAGCCGCGGUAAUACGGAGGGUGCGAGCGUUAACCGGAAUUACUGGGCGUAAAGCGCGCGUAGGUGGCUUGAUAAGCCGGUUGUGAAAGCCCCGGGCUCAACCUGGGAACGGCAUCCGGAACUGUCAGGCUAGAGUGUCAGGAGAGGAAGGUAGAAUUCUCGGUGUAGCGGUGAAAUGCGUAGAGAUCGGGAGGAAUACCAGUGGCGAAGGCGGCCUUNUGGACUGACACUGACACUGAGGUGCGAAAGCGUGGGUAGCAAACAGGAUUAGAUACCCCUGGUAGUCC
rnacentral:rRNA from 1 species